GGAAAGUCUUUCAAGUUGAAAGAGACAAGUUUCAAACUGAUCACCUACUCUGGUGCCCUUUGCUUCCCAGUUACCUGGGAAAUAAAAAUUAAACCAGCUAUUGUCAUAGCUAGCUGUAAACAUUUUCCUGUGAUGCAACAGAAAUUAUUGAGCUAAUUAAUUGAUCCUGAAGUGUUCUUUCCAGUUUUAAAUAGGAAAUGUAUUUUUUAGAGCAAUCAGUGCAAUAGAUUACAGCUGACCUGGCCCCUAUUUUCCCCACUGCAUUAUGCAGCUCAGGUGUAUGAUGUCUCCUCUCAUUUGGACAAUAUAAAAGAAAAUCUUACAACUUAUAUGUGGUCACCAACAGGCUGCUCCACACCCCAGAACAGCUUUUCUUCCUGCUCCCAAGUCUAACAUCAACUCAAACCAAUUCCUUAUUCCCUCCAAAUAAGAACAAGUUUUUUGUUUUGUCCCACCAUCUUGUCUGAAGGCAUGAUUAAGAAGAAUACACACUGCUCUGUGUACUGCCAUUAACACCAAAAAUAUCUUCGUGUUUUGGCUGUCCCUCCACACGCAGAAUUUCUAUGCCUUCCAACACGUCAGAUACAGGGUAAUCAUCUUUGACAGCAAUCCUGUACCAAAUGGAACAAGUAAUCCAUUGUCAAUCUAACAGGAUGUGUUUUCCAACCGUAGCUGCUUAAUAUCAGGAACUCACUUUAGGACGCAUCCUGAGAUGGAGCAGGAGGAUCUUUAUUCUCGGGCUCUGGAGGAGGAGCUGGCACGCUUUCCUCUUUCUUUUGUGCAGCCAAAAAUUCAUGAAUCGCCCUCUCUAUCUGGGGCCUGAAGAUGUGGUUUAGUUUUGGAUCCACCACCUGAGAAAUAAUUCUGUCCACUCCAGCUUCCAGCAUUCCUGACUGAAUCACACUCUGUCUUAGCCCAUUUCGUAAUUGGUUUUUGUUCAUUGUUGGAUUCCAUUCCUGUUUGUCCAGAUGGGUUGAUACAAAGUUGUCCACCUUCUGCCUCAAAUUUUGAUAGGCUGGCUUGGUGUCCACGUCGGCCAGGCAGUCCCGGCGGAAGCCAUCGAACAGGCCGCGGCUCUUGAGCUGCUCCACGAUGAUGGCGAUGAGCUGCGCGUCCCCGGGCGGCAGCGAGGCCGGGUUGGUGGCGCCGGGCCCGGAGCCCGAGGCCGCGCCGCCCGCGUUCCCCGGACCCCCUCCGCUUCCCGCACCGCCGCCUCCCCCCCCGGGGCGGCCCCACCGGCGCCGCCGCUCUCGGACAUGGCGCACGGCCUGAGCCCGGGGCCCGCCAACGGUUGCGGCCGUCCACGGCGGCGCGCCGCGUUUUGCGUAACGCGGCGCGUUGCAUCGCGGGGAGGCGAGUCCUCCGCAGAGGGCGUCCUUG
rnacentral:lncRNA from 1 species